AACGAACGCUGGCGGCAGGCCUAACACAUGCAAGUCGAGCGCCCGGACUUAUCCGGGAGCGGCGCACGGGUGAGUAACGCGAGGGAACAUGCCCUGCAGUACGGAACAACCUGGGGAAACCUUGGCUAAUACCGUAUACGCCCUGAGGGGGAAAGAGUUAUCGCUUUGGGAUUGGCCCGCGUUGGAUUAGCUGGUUGGUGUGGUAACGGCGCACCAAGGCGACGAUCCAUAACUGGUAUGAGAGGAUGACCAGUCACACUGGGACUGAGACCCGUCCCAGACUCCUACGGGAGGCGGCAGUGGGGAAUAUUGGACAAUGGGCGGAAGCCUGAUCCAGCCGUGCCGCGUGAGUGAAGAAGGCCUUCGGGUUGUAAAGCUCUUUCAGCGGGGACGAUGAUGACGGUACCCGCAAAAGAAGCCCCGGCUAACUUCGUGCCAGCAGCCGCGGUAA
rnacentral:rRNA from 1 species